rnacentral:rRNA from 1 species
CCUGGCUCAGGACGAACGCUGGCGGCGCGCCUAACACAUGCAAGUCGAACGAGCGAGAGAGAGCUUGCUUUCUCGAGCGAGUGGCGAACGGGUGAGUAACGCGUGAGGAACCUGCCUCAAAGAGAGGGACAACAGUUGGAAACGACUGCUAAUACCGCAUAAGCCCACGACCCGGCAUCGGGUAGAGGGAAAAGGAGCAAUCCGCUUUGAGAUGGCCUCGCGUCCGAUUAGCUAGUUGGUGAGGUAAUGGCCCACCAAGGCGACGAUCGGUAGCCGGACUGAGAGGUUGAACGGCCACAUUGGGACUGAGACACGGCCCAGACUCCUACGGGAGGCAGCAGUGGGGAAUAUUGCACAAUGGGGGAAACCCUGAUGCAGCGACGCCGCGUGGAGGAAGAAGGUCUUCGGAUUGUAAACUCCUGUUGUUGAGGAAGAUAAUGACGGUACUCAACAAGGAAGUGACGGCUAACUACGUGCCAGCAGCCGCGGUAAAACGUAGGUCACAAGCGUUGUCCGGAAUUACUGGGUGUAAAGGGAGCGCAGGCGGGAAGGCAAGUUGGAAGUGAAAUCCAUGGGCUCAACCCAUGAACUGCUUUCAAAACUGUUUUUCUUGAGUAGUGCAGAGGUAGGCGGAAUUCCCGGUGUAGCGGUGGAAUGCGUAGAUAUCGGGAGGAACACCAGUGGCGAAGGCGGCCUACUGGGCACCAACUGACGCUGAGGCUCGAAAGUGUGGGUAGCAAACAGGAUUAGAUACCCUGGUAGUCCACACUGUAAACGAUGAUUACUAGGUGUUGGAGGAUUGACCCCUUCAGUGCCGCAGUUAACACAAUAAGUAAUCCACCUGGGGAGUACGACCGCAAGG